rnacentral:tRNA from 1 species
GAGAGAGGUCUGGGACACAAAGAACUGCUAAUUCUUUCUACCACGGUCCAAAUCCGCGGCUCACUCA